rnacentral:ncRNA from 1 species
UCUUAUCAAGAGAGGCGGAGGGACAGGCCCUAUGAAGCCCAGCAACCAAUAUUUAUAUAUAUGGUGCUAAAUCCUGCAACUAUUAAAGUUGAGAGAUGAG